rnacentral:rRNA from 1 species
AUUGAACGCUGGCGGCAUGCCUUACACAUGCAAGUCGAACGGCAGCACGGGAGCAAUCCUGGUGGCGAGUGGCGAACGGGUGAGUAAUAUAUCGGAACGUGCCCAGUAGUGGGGGUUAACUGCUCGAAAGAGCAGCUAAUACCGCAUACGACCUGAGGGUGAAAGGGGGGGAUCGCAAGACCUCUCGCUAUUGGAGCGGCCGAUAUCAGAUUAGCUAGUUGGUGGGGUAAAGGCCUACCAAGGCAACGAUCUGUAGUUGGUCUGAGAGGACGACCAGCCACACUGGGACUGAGACACGGCCCAGACUCCUACGGGAGGUAGCAGUGGGGAAUUUUGGACAAUGGGCGCAAGCCUGAUCCAGCAAUGCCGCGUGCAGGAAGAAGGCCUUCGGGUUGUAAACUGCUUUUGUCAGGGAAGAAAUCCUCUAGGUUAAUACCCUUGGGGGGAUGACGGUACCUGAAGAAUAAGCACCGGCUAACUACGUGCCAGCAGCCGCCGUAAUAC